AGGACGAAGAGCCUGCCCCAGGGCCAAGGGUCAACUUGCUGCCGCUCAGCGGGGACCGCGUGGGUGAGACAGACGGAAUUCGCACCGAGUCUGGUCUCCUUCUAGGUAAACGGGGCGUCCCGAGUCUUUCCUACUGCCCUGCUCUCGGGGGGCACGGGGCGCAGGUAAAAUUCAGCGUCCUCCAGCCCUCUGCAAGUGGCGCCGGGUGCUACGAUCUCUGGACAGCCAGAAGAAUCUUGUGAAACAAACAGUAUUUUACAGGAAGGAAACUAAAUGCCAUCCAAAAAUGGUUUUAUCACAGCCCACGCAGCUGAUGUGGGACCUAGCGCGGCUCGAGGUCAGGUCAAGUCACCACGCAGGACAGGUGUCACUCAGGAGACUGUGCCUUCUCCAACCCCUCCCCCCUUCUUUGUAACAGCAGCAGGUCUACAGUACGACCCUGUAUUUUUAAGCCGCCCAUCCCCCUUCCCAGGGUUAGGACUUAACGUCCUAGGAGAAAUAAACAAGCUUCCCUUUACCAGUCUUUGAAUUGAUAAUCCGUUUAGCAGAUUAGAAAAGAAAAGAAAGGUUCGUUUCUUUCAAAGCAAUGAACCAGAAAAGAUGGGAUUAUCUCAGCCAUUCACCACCGUCUCUAGCAGGGAAUCAAGUAACUGGGAAAGCGUCUGCACAGUGGAGAGCCCGCCUCUCCAGCUGGACCAGCGACAGCUCGUCCUCCAGGAUUCCACCUUGGACAUCACUGCCGGUUUUGUUCUGCGAUUCGUGACAAAGCCGCGGAACGUGGCGGUUGAUGGUGGUCUCACCCCACGCCCUCCCCUUAGCCCACCCUGUAGAGCCGCAGAGCUCGCCAGUCCCUGCCGGCCGCUCCGGCGCCCCCCUGUUGCCAGGUCCAGUCCGUGCUUCUGUUCUCAGUCCGUUGGUCACAGUCGCCUACUCCCUUCCCGAGACAUUUCUUGUCAUUUCCCUUCCGCUCCCUCCUGGUUCGCGGUGGCGUGGCCACAAUGUGCUGGGGUGCCCAGGGCUCUCCGUGUGCUGUCCUCUAUCCGCACACGCUGCAGGUGUGCUCGUGUGGUGCAGUACACAUCGAUGACUGACCCCCACCAUCUGUCUCCAGCCAGGACCUCUUCUGAGACCAGGCUCCGUGUCUAACUUGGCAUCACCACACGCAUGGUUGGUGUCUAGACCUAACUCAGCCGAAACGGAGUCGAGCGCCUGCACACCCGGCCGUGUCUCCCCAGCCUUUCCUGACCCAGCGAACAGCGGCACCAAACGUCUAGGGAUUUUGUGUUUCCUCUCCCCUCGCCUCAGCAUCCAGCCAAGUCUAGCAGCAAAUCCUGUCGCUUUGACCUCCAAAGCACACCACACAUCCACUCACUUACCCCAUCCCGGGUCCUUCUGCCCUCUUUUCUUGCCUGAUGAAAUGGACUUACUGAAAUUCACCCCCUGCUUCCGUUUCUGCGGCUGCCCACUUCCAUGCAGAGCGUGUAUUAAAACACACAAACGGGAUUGUGUCACCUGUCUGCUUGGCCCUCCUUUCCCAACCGCCGGCUGCCGACCACCUCUCCAGCCUCUGCCUCCCGCCUGUUCUCUGCCCUCCACACGCGCGGGUCUCUCAGCGUCUGAGUCUGCCGUCCUCCCUGCCUCGGGGCCUUUGCCAGUGCGUUUUCCCUCCCUCCAUCCUGCAGACACGUUCUCCCCUGCGCGCUUCCCUUCUCCGCUUAGGACCCCUCCCUAGAGAGGCCUUCUGACCGCACCCCGCACCCCGCGCGGCUGGGAGGUCUCCGUUUCACACGCUCCUGGUGCUUGUCUGUAAUGAUGUAUUUGGCUAAUGUCAGCCUCCACCUUAGGACCGCCGGCCCCAUGUUUUUGGUGCUUGCUGAAUGAAUACAUGUGUGUUGCCAGUGACGACUUGUGUCUUGGGGUCAGGGUGUGUCUUCCAGGGACCAGUGCCUGGUAUGUGACAGGCGACAAAAAGAAGUUUGCUCAAUGAAAACAGAAAGGACGUGAUGAGAAGCACUCCAGAGUUUCCACAACAUCACUACAAGUGCCCUCCUAACUCCAAUCAAAUCUCCUUCCCUAGAAAAUAAUGCUGUGCACUGGGACAAGAGGCCGCGGAACCUGGCGCUGGCUGGCAGAGCGGGUCGGAGCAGGCAGAAGCAGACACGAACAGCACGCAUCGCGUCGCUUUCCUGUGACCGGUGCUGCCCUCCGGGAAUCCUCCUUAGAAGGGAAGAAGUCUCUUGAAAUUGAACUGCUUCUUCCAGCAGAAUAGCCAGCAGCAGCCAAAAAAUACAUCAUGCGACCGGAGUUUAUCACCCCGAAGUGGGCAGCUCGGGAAGGAUCUGUAGAUGCUUUGAAAGGCAGAUGGUCGCCCUCCCUGCGGCCCUGCCUGCACGCCCGCCACCCAUCCACGGGUGUGCGCCCGUGCCAGCGACGUGCUUCCUCUGCGAGGGUCUUUCGGGCUUCGUGGGCCAAGAGGCAGAAUCCAGCAGAGGAGAUGGGUCCUUCAGUAGCAACCGUUUUGAAAUGUGAAAAACAGGCGCCUGGGUGGCUCAGCUGGUUACGCGUCUGACUUUUGAUUUCAGCUCAGGCCGCAAUCUCACGGUUUGUAGGUUCGCGCCC